AAGUCGUAACAAGGUUUCCGUAGGUGAACCUGCGGAAGGAUCAUUAUUGAAUGAACUUGGUGUGGUUGUUGCUGGCUCUCUCGGGGGCAUGUGCACACCCACCAUUCUCAUCUCUCCACCUGUGCACCUCUUGUAGACCUGGAUAGACUUUCCGAGGCAACUCGGUCGGGAAGAUUGCUGCGCUCUGUGAGCCAGCUUUCUUUGCAUGUCUAGGCCUAUGUUUUUCAUAUACCCCUAUAGAAUGUAACAGAAUGUAUCAUUGGGCCUUGUGCCUAUAAACCUUAUACAACUUUCAGCAACGGAUCUCUUGGCUCUCGCAUCGAUGAAGAACGCAGCGAAAUGCGAUAAGUAAUGUGAAUUGCAGAAUUCAGUGAAUCAUCGAAUCUUUGAACGCACCUUGCGCUCCUUGGUAUUCCGAGGAGCAUGCCUGUUUGAGUGUCAUUAAAUUCUCAACCUUAUUAGCUUUUGCUGAUAAUGGAUUGGAUGUGGGGGUUUCUUUUGCCGGCUUCUUCACAGAGGUCAGCUCCCCUUAAAUGCAUUAGCUGGUGCCCCGCGUGGACCAUCUAUUGGUGUGAUAAUUAUCUACGCCGUGGAUGUCUGCAAUCAUAUGGGUUUUGCACUGCUUCUAACCGUCUGUUCAUUCGGACAAUACAUGACAAUUUGACCUCAAAUCAGGUAGGACUACCCGCUGAACUUAA
rnacentral:rRNA from 1 species